rnacentral:rRNA from 1 species
AUACGUAGGGGGCGAGCGUUGUCCGGAAUGAUUGGGCGUAAAGAGCGCGUAGGCGGCGCGGUAAGUCUGGAGUGAAAGUCCUGCUUUCAAGGUGGGAGUUGCUUUGGAUACUGCCGCGCUUGAGUGCAGGAGAGGUUAUCGGAAUUCCCGGUGUAGCGGUGAAAUGCGUAGAGAUCGGGAGGAACACCAGUGGCGAAGGCGGGUAACUGGACUGCAACUGACGCUGAGGCGCGAAAGUGUGGGGAGCAAACGGGAUUAGAUACCCUGGUAGUCCACACUGUAAACGAUGAAUGCUAGGUGUAAGAGGUAUCGACCCCUUUUGUGCCGGAGUCAACACAAUAAGCAUUCCGCCUGGGGAGUACGGCCGCAAGGUUGAAACUC